rfam:Lobosporangium transversale strain NRRL 3116 BCR41scaffold_29, whole genome shotgun sequence.
GCUCUUGUGGCGCAAUUGGUUAGCGCGUCUGACUGUUAAUCAGGAGGUUGGUGGUUCAAGCCACCCAGGAGCG